rnacentral:rRNA from 1 species
UGNAAGUCGAGCGGAUGACGGGAGCUUGCUCCUUGAUUCAGCGGCGGACGGGUGAGUAAUGCCUAGGAAUCUGCCUGGUAGUGGGGGACAACGUUUCGAAAGGAACGCUAAUACCGCAUACGUCCUACGGGAGAAAGCAGGGGACCUUCGGGCCUUGCGCUAUCAGAUGAGCCUAGGUCGGAUUAGCUAGUUGGUGAGGUAAUGGCUCACCAAGGCGACGAUCCGUAACUGGUCUGAGAGGAUGAUCAGUCACACUGGAACUGAGACACGGUCCAGACUCCUACGGGAGGCAGCAGUGGGGAAUAUUGGACAAUGGGCGAAAGCCUGAUCCAGCCAUGCCGCGUGUGUGAAGAAGGUCUUCGGAUUGUAAAGCACUUUAAG